AUUGAACGCUGGCGGCAGGCCUAACACAUGCAAGUCGAACGAGUGGCGGACGGGUGAGUAAUGUCUGGGAAACUGCCCGAUGGAGGGGGAUAACUACUGGAAACAGUAGCUAAUACCGCAUACCAUCGGAUGUGCCCAGAUGGGAUUAGCUAGUAGUUGGGGUAACGGCUCACCUAGGGGACGCUCACUAGCUGGUCUGAGAGGAUGAACGGCCACACGGGAACUGAGACACGGCACAGACUCCUACGGGAGGCAGCAGUGGGGAAUAUUGCACAAUGGGCGCAAGCCUGAUGCAGCCAUGCCGCGUGUAUGAAGAAGGCCUUCGGGUUGGAAAGUACUUUCAGCGAGGAGGCGUUACGCGCAGAAGAAGCACCGGCUAACUCCGUGCCAGCAGCCGCGGUAAUUC
rnacentral:rRNA from 1 species